UUCACCAGAAAAUCCCCAUUCCUCUCACCAAAUUAAAUUAAGAAGCAUCGUUGUAUAAAUAGGUAGGCUAAGUGAAUCAUUGUUCUUACUCGACUACGACAUUUUUGUCAUCUCCAAAAACAAUGCAUACAUAAUUUGAAGAGCAAAAGGAUUAGCUUCUCUUUCCCUGAUGAGCUACCGCUGCACAAGGCUCUUCUGGGCCCUGCGGGGAGUAUCCCAAUUACCAGACGCUCUGCAUCAGCGACGACCAUAUUUGUGCUCCUUGUGAAUUGUAAUACCCGCUUUUAUUAUUAUUUUUUUUUUAUGUUAAAAUAUUGUUUUGAUAACGAGCGAGUGAUAGACCGUAAAUAAAAAUACUGUCUUUGUUUUGAUUGGUUGCGAAGGAAAGUAGUGAAUGCAUGAAUUGUUGGUUAA